rnacentral:rRNA from 1 species
GAUCAUGGCGUCAGGAUGAACGCUGGCGGCGUGCUAACACAUGCAAGUCGAACGAGGGCUGCUGGUUGAAGUUUCGGAUGGAAACCGGUAAUUCCUAGUGGCGGACGGGUGAGUAACGCGUGGGGAACCUGCCCCGCUCCGGGGGAUACCAGCUGGAAACGGCUGUUAAUACCGCAUAAGCGCACAGUAUCGCACGAUGCAGUGUGAAAAACUCCGGUGGAACGGGAUGGCCCCGCGUCUGAUUAGCCAGUUGGCAGGGUAACGGCCUACCAAAGCGACGAUCAGUAGCCGGCCUGAGAGGGCGACCGGCCACAUUGGGACUGAGACACGGCCCAAACUCCUACGGGAGGCAGCAGUGGGGAAUAUUGCACAAUGGGGGAAACCCUGAUGCAGCCGACGCCGCGUGAGUGAGGAAGUAUUUCGGUAUGUAAAGCUCUAUCAGCAGGGAAGAAGAUGACGGUACCUGCACAAGAAGCCCCGGCUAACUACGUGCCAGCAGCCGC